GGCGCACGGUGGAUGCCUUGACACUAGGAGUCGAUGAAGGACGGGACUAACGCCGAUAUGCUUCGGGGAGCUGUAAGUAAGCUUUGAUCCGAAGAUUUCCGAAUGGGGAAACCCACCAUACGUAAUGGUAUGGUAUCCUUAUCUGAAUACAUAGGGUAAGGAAGACAGACCCAGGGAACUGAAACAUCUAAGUACCUGGAGGAAGAGAAAGCAAAUGCGAUUUCCUGAGUAGCGGCGAGCGAAACGGAACAUAGCCCAAACCAAGAGGCUUGCCUCUUGGGGUUGUAGGACAUUCUAUACGGAGUUACAAAGGAACGAGGUAGACGAAGCGACCUGG
rnacentral:rRNA from 1 species